rnacentral:rRNA from 1 species
AAAACUUUCAACAACGGAUCUCUUGGCUCUGGCAUCGAUGAAGAACGCAGCGAAAUGCGAUAAGUAAUGUGAAUUGCAGAAUUCAGUGAAUCAUCGAAUCUUUGAACGCACAUUGCGCCCGCCAGUAUUCUGGCGGGCAUGCCUGUUCGAGCGUCAUUACAACCCUCAGGCCCCCGGGCCUGGCGUUGGGGAUCGGCGGAAGCCCCCUGCGGGCACAACGCCGUCCCCCAAAUACAGUGGCGGUCCCGCCGCAGCUUCCAUUGCGUAGUAGCUAACACCUCGCAACUGGAGAGCGGCGCGGCCACGCCGUAAAACACCCAACUUCUGAAUGUUGACCUCGAAUCAGGUAGGAAUACCCGCUGAACUUAAGCAUAUCAAUAAGCGGAGGAAAAGAAACCAACAGGGAUUGCCCCAGUAACGGCGAGUGAAGCGGCAACAGCUCAAAUUUGAAAUCUGGCUCUCGGGCCCGAGUUGUAAUUUGUAGAGGAUGCUUUUGGUGAGGUGCCUUCCGAGUUCCCUGGAACGGGACGCCAUAGAGGGUGAGAGCCCCGUCUGGUUGGACACCGAUCCUCUGUAAAGCUCCUUCGACGAGUCGAGUAGUUUGGGAAUGCUGCUCUAAAUGGGAGGUAUAUGUCUUCUAAAGCUAAAUACCGGCCAGAGACCGAUAGCGCACAAGUAGAGUGAUCGAAAGAUGAAAAGAACUUUGAAAAGAGAGUUAAGAAGUACGUGAAAUUGUUGAAAGGGAAGCGCUUGUGACCAGACUUGGGCCUGGUUGAUCAUCCGGGGUUCUCCCCGGUGCACUCUUCCGGCUCAGGCCAGCAUCAGUUCGCCCUGGGGGAUAAAGGCUUCGGGAAUGUGGCUCUCUCCGGGGAGUGUUAUAGCCCGCUGCGUAAUACCCUGUGGCGGACUGAGGUUCGCGCAUUCGCAAGGAUGCUGGCGUAAUGGUCAUCAGUGACCCGUCUUGAAACACGGACC